rnacentral:tRNA from 1 species
GGAGGGGUGGCUGAGUGGUUUAAAGCGUAGCACCGGAAAUGCUAAGUAGAUAUACCUUUACCGAGGGUUCAAAUCCCUCCUCCUCCU